CGAGCGAACGGGAACUAAACCGCCCAGCGCGAAAACCGAAAACAUUUCCAACGCCCCGACGUUCGCGAAGAGGAAGAUCGACGCAGAGCGGCGAAAAUCUAGUUUCACUAUCGAGCGAGAAUUAUGGCUAAAAUCUUGGGGCCUCGUAUUAAGGUAAAGGUGACGGUGACUUGCUGGCCAAACACGUCCAUAAAUAAUGCAACAAUUAAAUAAAGUCAAAUAUUUAUAUACCUUAUAAACGGUAAGUAAUGACCGAUCGUAUAAUGACCAAGCUGGAAAUGAGCUGCGUGAUGAAGAAACCCCUUGAACUGAAGGAUCAGCAAUAAAUUCGAGCAUUUAAUAAUUAUAAAUAUAUAAAUGCCGCAAAUUAAGAAAUGAUUUUGGAAAUUGCCAAUCAUGGGCCAUAAAGAUCUUUGUCGCCAUAAUAUUUAUUAAAAAACCAUUGAGACGAACAAAUAAAAGGCCGCAAAACAAA